rnacentral:lncRNA from 1 species
UGGAGGAAAGUUGGUUGGUCUCAACCAAUGCAUUACUUCAGGUACGAAUUCAGUAGUUUGGCCUUGGCUUUUUACUCAGUUUACUGCAGCAGUACUACCAGAAAUCGUGUGGUUUCAAUAAUGCAAGUGAAGUAGUAAGUAUUUAACUUACAGGAGAUGACAAAGUUAUGGAAUCAAUCAAAUGGGAGCCAAGCAAGGAAGAAGGAACAGCAGGAGAAAGUGCAGAUAAACAAACACCACAUCGCUGGUUUGUGAAAAUGAAGCAGAAGCGCUGGGUAUAAACUAAAAACUCCAAGCACAUAAUAACUCAUACCUUUCUCGGCCUUUUGGCUAAGAUCAAGUGUAGUAUCUGUUCUUAUCAGUUUAAUAUCUGAUAUGUGAGCCAUUGGCUCACACGAUAUUAAAUUUAUUUUUUUAGGGGGAGAUUUCCGCCACUGAAGCUUGCUUCAGGGAAGUCUCGCGCGUCGCCUAUGCGUUGCACUACUUCAAAGGCCUGGCGCACCCCACCAAUCUCCAGUAAAAUAUCUUUCAUGCUGUGCAUGUAUUUGAAGCUUGAAUCGUUGAAACAUAAAACUAAAAUUAAUGAAGGCCCCGAAGCGAAGGUAGUCGGAAGUUCGAGGUCAUAAACCAAGUUGACUUAUAGCCAUUAAGAUACAUAUAUCUAGUUCCGAGUGGGAGGAGUCUUGGAAGAUAGAUAGUGUGUUCAUAGCAGGAUUAAUAGUUGCUGGUCAUUGUGUUUCUGCUAGGCAUUAGCUUCUUGUUAUUCAGGGGGAUGUUUCUGAUUUCACUGAUGUCUUUGUUAUCAUCUUGCUGUUCUUCAUGUUUUCUGCUCCAAUUACUUCUGAUACAGGCAUGAGAGGUUUGGCCAACUGAUUGAUGUUUUCAAAAACCAUGUCAUAGUUUAGUUACUCCGAUUCCGGCUUCGGUUAUGGUAUAUGCAGAAAUGGGGUAACAAACCAUCGUUAAGGUCACAAGACUCGACCAGUUCUGUGUUCUGUGGUUGAAGUUUUCGAUGAGACUACCUAAUUAAUACUUUCUGUACAAUUACCAAUCUUCCUCUAUUCCUCUUUUGACUUGAAAUGAAUCGCAACAAAUUACAUCGUAACCUUUCGGUUGAGGGAAGCUAGGCAUGAGAUUGUGUAUGGUCCAAAAAGCAAAUUCGAUUUGGUAAAGGUAGAAUAGCUUAUAGCCAGCAAUUUCUGAAGGGUUUUAACUAAGUUAGGAACCCUAACAAUGGUUUGAGUUAAUUAAAAUUUAUAAUUUGAGCGUCGGGGAAGACUCGAGCAAAAGCUCUGCAACGAAAGCAGCAACAAACUGUAAUUUCCUUUGAACAAACUAACAAAGGGCCUUUGUCUUCCGCCGCAACUAUGACAGUGUAUAUAGAUCUCUGUUACCUAAUCAACCUUACAAGGGUAUGGUGGUACUAUACUACAUUCAAUGUCAAGUACUCUUUAAUUAUGUUGUAAAUUUAGCAUACUGUCAUGCUGCAUUAUAGAGAUCUCUGUUACGUAUUCAAACUUUACGAGGGUAAUGAUACUAUGUCGGUAAGGAAUGUACUUAGAUUUUGAUGUUAAGCAUGUGUAUGAAUGUGAAUUUAGCAUCGAGUUAUAAGUCUGCGUGGAAUGAGUGGGUACAAACGACAUUACAAAAAAAAAACAAAAGAACUGGAGGUUGGAAUUAGUUAUUAGUGCUGCAGCUACAACACUAAGUAAUGCAAGAUGUAAGGAUGAUCAUGAAAGAAAUCGUGUGGUUUCACUAAUUCAAGUGAGGGUAUAUAUGUAUGUAUAAUUGGCUAAUUAACUCAUUUGAAAAUUAAUCAUAGAAUCAAUCGAAUGGGUGCCCCGAGCCCAGCGGCCAACUCUAGCAGGCAGGCAUGCAAGGUCAUGUUAGUUUAUCAAAGUCAGUCUUGGAGUUGAGCAGUGUUGGAGUUGGUAUAAAUGGGUUGCUGGCUGGAAAAUUUCACACGUCAGCCUGCAUCCUUGCGCUCCAUGGUGACUGAAAUCAUAGUACUACCUACAGAUUCAAUUCAACUGAAAAUAUGAAGCACAGCCACAACAUAAAAAUCAAACGACUGCAGGUGCAAGGCACGAUAAUGUUUCGAGCUACAUAUGAACCUAAACUUUGCAGCAAAUUCAAUAGAAGGCCAUCUCAAACACAUUGGAAGCCAAGUGUCUUUCUUUCUUUCUUCCUGGGGCCAAGCCAAUGGUUAUUUAUCAAAGCUACCUUUCUUAACGAAGGAAUAGAAACUCCAAGCCUUAGACAAUGCAUACUACCUUGCUGGUUUUGGUUUCUCUCCUAAUGAAAUAUAAUAAGUCUAAUUGCUGGUUUUGCUAGGAUCACUAGAUAGUAGUAACUAAAAACAAAAACAAAAUGGAAGAAGAGGGUAUGUAUUUGUGUAAGACGAUGUAAGUGAACAGUAAAAUCAACUUUAUAUAUAUCUGAAGAAGACUGAAAUACACAAAUUAAGCUGGAAAUUAGAACCGGAUGCAACUCAACCCAUCUAACUCAAUAUGACCCUGUAUGUGUUACAGUCCAACAACAUAUCCCAACUAGCUGUGUUACUAGAUCCUACUAUCUUCGGCGCUCUUACCCCUAGUUCCUCAUCGGCUGAGAUGCAAUCAAUUGUGCCAUCACACUGGCGUACAGCACAGCUGUGUGUUGUGAUGUAUACUCAUCUCCUAGACCAUACUCCAACAAAUUGGGUUCAUUGUGCAAAAAGCUUCCAUGCAGCGAUCGUUUCACAAUAGCUUCGUGCAAUAUAUCAACGAAAUCAGCUAGUAAUUGACUGGCCUUCUCCAUUGAAGAUACCGGAAGAUACUCCACCUUCAAAACACCAACAGGAUAAUCAUCACAACCUUAGUCUAAUCAUCAACCAAGCAACAUCCCAAAAUCAACAUCAACAAACUAAAUGGUCAACUUACACCAGUCAGACAGUAAAUGGCAAGAAACAUGAGAUUGUUAAUGCCCACCCAUCAGAUUAUUCAUAAAAAAAAACAAGAUUCGCUUUAUAUCGGGUGCCAAUUAUAUUAGAUUUAAGUUGUAUGUUCUGCUAUCUACUCCAAAAAUGGCAGGCUAGUGAGCUAAUCAAUCGUUCACUUAGGAAAUUAGCAUCAAACACCAUUCACAAAUAACAGCAACUUGUUAUUUCAUGGAAACUAUGCAUGAAACGGCUCGUAGAAAGCAACGAAACAAUUCCAUACCUCGAGAACUAUUCCCCUCAAGCUCUCAGAGUUACUGGGGACAACCUUCCCGACUCUCAACUGAAAAUCACCAAGUUGGUACUGCAACCCCUACAAAAUUCAGUACCAUAUUUCAUACAAUCAGAAAAAUGGUCAUCCCACACAGAGUUUAUAAAUAUUCUAAACCAAAGCAGCAUCGAUCAGUAUGUAGAAACCUCGAAGUAAAGCGCAAUUCGGGAUUUGUAGGACUGAAGCUUCUCCAUGAUAGUCUGGAUGGAAGAAUCAGCCUCGGUUACCAGCCUCUGACCUCUGAUUAUGAAGUAGUACUUGUUGGGCUGCUCCUGCAGCGAAACCCCCAAUAGUUCACGAGGGUAUUCGCACGCUAGGCUCUGGUCUUGUAUCAAUUCCACCAAACUCAAUUCAAUUACGAAAAUCCCCAAACUCGGAAUUGGAAGUGGAAAAGAGGAUAUUAUUAUGAAUCAAAUGAAAAACCUCGUAGCAUGGGCUUGAACAGUGUGAGAGUAGCUUUCCACCUCCCGUCUUUCACGCCGUUGAUUGAUUCCGCACACUGAGCUACUUCGUUCACGAUCUGUGUGUUGAUCGUGCUUCCCGGAUUUGGUUGCCAGUGCAAAACCCUAGAAAAUGAGGAAAAGGACAAUUCUUGGAGUUAGAUUGGAAUAAAGAACUCAGUGGGAAGAAGAAGGAGUUCGAAUUCAACCAUUUGGUCGGCAUUGGAGAAGCUGGGUUGACGGUAUGCUUGAUCGGAGCUUUGCUCCCAGGGAAUGCUCGAGCGUCCGCCUGCAGAGCUCCGACAGUGAGAUUUUCUAAAGAAAUUUAAAUUAUUGUACUGUAAAUCCAACGGCUCCGAUAUCAGAUGCUACACUGAUUUCAAAAUACAAUUAGUGCACUUGAUCUUUUGCCAAAUUGCCUGAAAAAACGCGAAACGGCUAUUAUCUCUCUCGGAUGGAUCCAAGAUGCCGAUCCGACGGUCCAAAUUCGGGUUUGAGAAAUUUAAUCCAACGGUGAUUUAAUCUCAGAGGGUAUGAAAGGAAAUGUUUUGUAAUCCACGUGUAGAAGAGAUGAUAAUACUCUCAAAGAAUUUCUUUUUCUGAUUAGUCCUCUCGGUUAAUAAAAAAUAAAAAAUAAACAAAAUUCAUAUAUGUCGACAAUUUGUAUGGUGCGAUUUGUUGUUGGUUCAUUGGUGCUUGAGCGAUACACACCCAAUCAAAUUUGAAAUUUCACGAACGUUUAAUAGAAAAGUCAAAAGAAACGAGUAAGAAAUGAUUUUAUAGUGUAGUUGGUUAUCACAUCAGUCUAACAUACUCAAGGUCUUCGGGCGAAGCCAAUUCUACCUUUUUUUUCUUAAAAGUUCAUUGCUGCUGUUUUUUUUGGGCUCAGACUUCUCAACAGGAAGCGGACUUUCUUUUUUCUCAGGUUCAUCAAAUCACCAGUUAAAUACAACCAGAUCUCCCACAUUUUGGUGAAUUGUUCCCUCUCCCCAUCAUGAAAGGCUAAACAAUACAUUUCUUAAGAGAGUAACAAAAAGGGCUGCUGCAGUAGUUAGCUAGUCUGAUUUUGUCCACUCCUUCCAAUCCUUGUCGACAUGUUUUUGGCCCCAUUUCAGAGCCAUUCGUGACACCUGAGGUGCUCCUGGCAAUUCACGCUCCUCGAUUUCGUCAGCCAUAUCCCCGAAAGGAUCGACCAGAAGUGUGCCAGGACCACCGUAUUCCGUGUGAAAGAAGGUGCCCAUGAUCUACAAAAGAAUCAACAAGAAGCAAAGGAUGUCUUAGGAAGGCUCUCUUUUAUGUAAUGUUCUUCACAAAACUUACUAUGGAGGAAGUAUAUCAGCAACUUCAACCAUCAGCAAGCUAAUAUAGCACUGAUCAAAGUAGUUCAGAGGCACUAACCCUUAGAAAUGAACUCCAAAAGUCAGCAAGCUAACCGAUUAUUCACGCGUUUUAGGGCAUUCUCACCUAGACACGAAAUCCUAUGAAAGGGAAUUGAAAUUUGUACAAGUCGACCAAGCCUCGUGCAAGUGAAUGAUUAUACUAGGAGAUAGCACAAUAAAACAUUUCGAUCAGAGGCUCAAUUCGGUGCCAUAUCGAGAAGUACUACAUCCCAAUAACUCGAGUUGUUGGAAAGAUUCAUACCUAGUUUUAUAUAACCAUUGGAGAAAUGCGAUUGAAGAGCACUAUUCGUCUCUACAAAGCAUAUUCGGUGACAGUUGAUGGACCCCUGUCAACCAAUCCGGUCUUCCGGUUCAAUAAAUCAGCAAGUCAAAGCCAAUAACUCAAGCGAGUUGUUGGAAAGAUUCAUACUUUGGUAUCAUAUAACAUCACUUAAACACAUAUGGUAGCAAAGAACACAAAUUUUUGGCUUAACUAGCUAGGAGAAGAAAGAAACCGCAAAUACCUCGGUGCAGAUUUCGACUACUUCAUCUAGUGAAUCUUUGAACCUCUCUUUCUUGGAAAGCUUCUCAACUAGAAAGCUUCUGAAUUUCUCAGUCUCCUGAACCAAACAAACAAUAACAGCAAAGGAAAACUCAGUAGGUAAGAACAAAUGCAGCAGCAGCAGAAAACUCAGUAGGAAAACUGACGGCAUCGGCGAAUUCGGGAAUUGGAUCGGGAAAUUUGUAGUUGUAAUCGAAAUCCUCCUCCUCCUCCUCUACUUCUUCGCAGAAGAGCUUUGAUGGGGGUCUUCUGUGGAUUGGUGGGUGGUGGAAAUAAGGAUGUGAAGCUCUGAAGCCACCAGCUAAUUGGCUUGGCCUCGAGGAACAGGAACGCACCACUACUGGAGGAGAAGAUGCAGCAAGAAGAGGGCGAGGAACUUGGAGAAGUGGAGAAGAGACGAGAGCUUUACUGCUCCAAGUCGCAGCCAUGGCGGGGCUGUAAUUGAUGUUCCUUAUCUUUCCCGAAGGGUUUAGUAGAGGCAGAGGUUUUGGGUUUAAAUGCGAAAGUUCUGUACUUUUUUAUCUUUUGAACUUCUCGUGACUUUGUAAGAUUUUACUGCGAAAAUUCAAAUUUUGGGUCAAAUAUUAUUUUACAAAUUUCAGCUAAACUGAGGACAGUUUUAAAUUAAAUUGGAGCUCGAAUUGAUCGGAUUGGGGUUAAUUUAGAAUGUAAUAUUUGUUCGAUUGAAUAAGUUUUUUGUGAUUAUAAAUUGUUAUCUCCAAUUUAUCAAAUUUGAGGGAUUAAUUUCACUUAGAUCAAGCUAUCAAAUUCUAUUUGGGAAGGUACAAAAUUUAUCGUAAUUGGAGGAGCAGUGGCUAGAACCGAGGUUAAUUCCAUUUUUUUAGAUUUGCUUAAACUAUAUGUAGGACAUGUUUUUUCAUGCCGGAAUUUGGAAGUGGAAUUUGCCAGAUUCGAGGGCCAAUUUCAUUAGAUACGCUUUCUACGACAUACCAAAUUUCAUGGCAUUUCGAGCUUAAUUCCGCCUAAGCUGCUGAAUUCCGUUUGGAGAAGUACAAAAUUGCCUUUAGCAUUGAAUCUGAAUUCCUGGCAGAAUUGGAGAUUGAGAAGCGACAAACGUGCCCCUAAUUUCGAUUAAAAGGAUUAAAUAGUGCAGUUAGACGAUGAUUCUAUGCAAUUUCUUUCUUCUAAUAUAGUGAAAAGGAAAUUUCAACUAAUAUAUACAUACGACUAUACGAGUAACUGCAACUCCCUCAAACUACAGGUUUCAGCUCCAGGAGGAACCAAACAAAAUUUCUACUUUUCUAGUAUAAAACCAGGUUGUAUAAUACACAUUGGUGAUUCUCAGAUUCCCCCAACCUAUACAAUGGUUAGCAAAAACGUACAGAGGAACAAGCUUCGCAUUUCCUUCAUGGGCGCCACAACGUGGAAAGCUUAUCAAGGUCUGCUCUUGCAAAAUGUACAGGUUGCAAAAACAUGUUAAAUCUCACAAGUUCCUUUCGUGAGGUUCAAGCCAUGGAAACCCCAAGAACUCAAACACUUCCUUCUCCGUCUGCAGUUUUAAGCUCACACUCGCCCUCGAACCCUACAGCAGAAAUGUGAUUUUUUUCAGAUGCACACAAGAAUUAAUUAGAUGAUGAUUCUGUGAACACGUCAGAUGCAGAGAUUUCGGUUUACCCGUUUGCCACUUGAAGAGUGAGUUGCUGGGAAUAGACCGGUGUCAUCUAGCCGGAAGCCUUUGGACUCUGCUAGCAGCCUCAGCCUGAUUUUAAAAGGUUUACCGGAGACAUAUUCGGAAAAUGAGUAACACAUUCUGAUUCGGAAAAGCUCGACUUACCUUCUGUUGAGUGUAUCAUUCCCAGUCCAUGCUAUGAGACCGAAAGCAUAUAUGUCCCUCGGAUAUACCUACAGAGCAAGACAGAUUGAGUGAGCUAUUGAGCUUCUGAAUCUUCAAUGCAACAUUAUGGUUCAAAUGAUAUCAUAUAACUAUUAGCAUUUAACUUCACCUUGAAAUCUAUCCGGCGUCGCAGUUCUUGUCCAGGAUAUGUACAAAGACCGAAAUAUGUGUCAACUCCAGAAUCAGUACCCUGCUCGCUGUGGGUGCUGAAAACUAAAUCUUCUCUUAAGAAUUCCAUUUCCUUGAGUUGUUUCACGAAUUUCGACAAAAACCCUUUAUGGCUGUGCAGAUAAAGACAACAUUUACUAAGGUAGAGAUGAAAUAUGAAAAAACAACACUGUUGAGCUGACAAAAUCUUCUAAGAACUUCCUGAAAGAUGAGAAUGAAGUUAUUAUACCUUGUCCCGUCAGGGUGAGUAACUACAAUAUCCAUGUCCCCACACGAUGAUUUCCCGCGUCUAUACGAUCCUCCACAUAUAAUAAGUACCUAGGGAACAUGUCGAAACGGUAAAUCAUAUUACGAAGCUUGAAGUCUUUAUGCCGUGCUAGAGAAAUCAUAAACUACUUAAGACUGGACUCACCCCUGGCAAAAUUUCUUCUCCAGUUUUCUGCAGUAGUAGUUCCAUUUCUUGAACCUGUAAUUAAUUCAAUUUAAGUAAAGCUUAUCAGGAGAAACAGAAGCAAAGGGUUGAAAAAGAAUAUUGAUUUUACAGGACCUCGCUGCGUGGAAUCCUUGUCCUAAUGUCAUCGAAGUAUUUCAGCCCUAUCUUCUGUGAGUUAGUUAAGGAAUCAUCGUUCUUCAGAUCAUCUAAUGUGCGGUGUCCUUUCUCGUAUAACUUCAGGGCAGUAGCUGGACCAACACCCCACACUUCUCCAAACAAAGUAAUGGCACGCACCUGGAUUUACUUGAGGGACAAAACUCUCUCUCACUUCGAUACAAGUACGAAAUAUCAACAUGAGCAUCCCUGAAAAGCCAUUACAUUUUACCUUUUCAUCCGUUUCAAAGUGCUCCAACUUGGAUAAUUUGCUAGUAGUCACUAUCUCUUGGAUCUGUAAAGAUAAGCAGCAUCCACCAUAAGACACAGGAUAGAACACUGGAACCAUUUUUCGUUUCCAGUCGCUUCAUCCACACGCUUACAUGGUCCUGCAACGACUUCCCAAUCCCAGGCAGACCUUUCACCUGUUCUGCACUCUCGAUUUUGAACGGUAACUUCUCAAUAACUGGGAUCGCCUUGUAAUAGCUGAACGACCUCCGGUCCUCACCCAAUGCUUUUACACAUAAAGCAAAUGUGCAAUAUGGAAAAUCAAUCAAAGGAAGAACAGCAAGGAAAAUUCAAGCAAAAUCAUUUAUGAAGGUCUUACCCCGAUAGAUAUUGAUAAGCUUCCCGAAAAUCUCAGUGAUGUUUCUAUUCAAAUCAGGUGGAUUAUACUCCACCGACAACUAACAAUACACAGAAAACUGGAUCAGCUUUCUUACCUCUACAACACACUAGAAAUUCCACAUCACAAAAUUACUCAACUUACAUCGGUAUUCGAGCUACUGACACUCUUCGGGCUAGUCCUUCCAGGACUAAGAGAUUCAUUCAAGCUAUCAGAAUCUGACUUGCUAUCUGCUUUGAAACUCUCCACAAUAUCAGGAGGAUCAUCACAUCUCACCUUCUUCAGAGGAGAAGACUCAUCAUCACCAUUUCUACUACUCUUGCUUCUUUGUGAGUUAAAAUCUAUGCAGUAUGAAUCCUCCGAAACCUUUUCCCCUAAUCUCAAACUCUCUUCAAUCCACCGGUAGAGGAGAGCUCUCUUGGGAAGAUAUAUAUAUAUAUAUAUAUAUGCAUUUCUUAUUAAUUAACACAUUCAAACAUUAAUCACUAACAGAAUCUAAAAGUUCAAAACUUUAACUUACUCCUUUGAAGCGUUCAAGGCGACGUGUAUCCACUUGCUUCAGGAGCGCUUCUAAACUCGUGGCGAAAAUGAAAUUGACCUUCUUGGAGAAGCGGUCCUCGAUUGUUGCUCCCAUUUGCAUCAGCUUCUGCCUCCAAAUCUUCAUAAAAAAAAUGGAGAUUAAAAGAUGGAAAGUUCCGCUUCUGAUGGGAGUAAAAGGAAACGAGAACAAACCUCUAGCCGGCGGGGUUGGACUUCAUUGUCAAUCAAGAACACAACCAUUCCGGCGAACAUCCCAUCUGGGUCGAUCGAAAGGGCUUUGCUUUUGGUUGCCCUUGGCGCCAUUUUUUGCUCAGUUUGGAGAGCUUUCGGUACACACUACACACUUCUCUGCAGAAACCGGCAGAAAAUUUCGAACUUUUUUGGCCAUUUAGGUUCAUGACUGCGGGUCGAUUUACUGGGUCUUCCAGAAAUCCGAACCCAACCCAGGAAAAUUGACAGGCUUAUGGGUGUUUAUGGGCGGAUGGGCCCAAAAGAUACGACGGGGUUGCAAGAGUGUUUAUGGGUCAAGGCCCAAUCAGAGUACAAGUAUUGCAAGUUCCCGCGUUAAUAAAUCACAAGCGCGGGAGAGAAAUAGAAAGAAGGAAAUUCGAUUUAGAAAUUUAAAAUUUAAAUCCUAAAAUUUGAGAUAUUUAUUUUUUCGAUAUCCCCCCAAUCCAUCACUUCACCGCUCUCCGAGCUGCGUACAGUUCAUCAAUGGCGGAAGAGGAGCAAGUCGAAGAAGUGACAAUCCAGCAGCAGGAGUUCCCGAACGGGCGCGUGAGGAAGAUCAUGAGGAUCGACAAGGACGUGAACAAGGUGACCUCGGAAGCUCUGUUCGUCGUCGCGCGCUCCACCGAACUGUUCCUUCGCUUUCUCGCUGAGAAAUCGGUCGAAGUGGCGUCGGAGAAGAAGCGGAAGAUUGUGAAGAUCGAACACCUCCGAGCGGCCGUCCAGAGGCACCAGCCGACCAGCGAUUUCCUCCUCGAAUCGCUUCCGACGCAGACUCAAUCUCAAGAAGAAACCGGCGGUGGUGCUGCGGCUCGCCUUCCUCGCGAAGUUACUCCGAAGCCGAUGCCUGCCGGUACUCGGCGGAUUGAUGAUUUCUUUGGUAAAUUUACGAGCAGGGCUUCUACUUCAGCUGAGAAUCAAGGUUGAUUAGUUAUGUUCCUACUUCCUUCUUCCAGAUCUGAAUUUUAGUUAUAGACUUCUGAAUAUCUUGUUGCUCGAUUCCGCUUUUGAUUUAGGUAUCUGAAUGGUUCUUUAUUAGAAUUGAACACUGACUAGAACUCGCGGGAAUGGAUUGAUGAUUGCCUUUGUGAUUUAGGGUUCAGUUGAAAUCCACAGACCACAGUUGAUAGUUGUAAUUUUCUCCUGGGAUUUUCUUGAUCUCGUUAUGUAUACAUGAGUUUGCGAUUCUGUUGAAUACAAAACUGUGGGCACAAAUAUCACAUUGCGGACUUCUAAGAUACCAGUCCUGUUUAUAAGUUCAGAGGGUCAGCCAUGUGAUUCCCCCUUCGCGGACAUCUGAUAAAAUUGGAACGAUACAGAGAAGAUUAGCAUGGACCCUGCACAAGGAUGACACGCGUAAAUUGAGAAAUGAUCCAAAAAAAAUUUCCUUCCGAAAGGAUAUUGUUCUUUUUACAAUUAGCGAUCAUGUUAGCAGCAGUUGGUUCCGUCAAAUUGCUCAGUGAAGGGUUGAACGGGGUGAGGUUUAUCUUUGCAAGCAAAUGGUGAUGAGGAGCCCUCGAGUCUUAUUAUUCAGAACUUGAUAUGUUCUUCUCUAAGUUCUCUUCAUGCUUGCUUAUGGUGAUUGGUGACAAGGAAUCGAGUAUCGGCAAACGAUUGAGGCUAGGUAGUAGGUAGUGCAGUGGAUAGACACGACAGCGAAUUCUGCUAGGAUCAGUUCAACUUUCAUUUUCAUCUAUCUUCUCUUACACCCGCACAUGUUUACAGGUACUACUGGUUAUGUUACAGAACAUCCACGACAUGAUAGAUAAAACUCAGACAUUCUCCAAACAAAGUGCGUAUUUCAAGUUGCGGAAGCUAGAAUCCGUCAUUCUUCCAAGUGAAGAGAGAUCUAUAGGACUUUUCAACAUUUUACUGCACACACUCUUGGAUCAAGCACACCUACCGACUUUCAAUCAAAGCAUGCCAAAGCAGUAGAGACUAGAGAGACUAGAGGGACUUCUAGUUUUUAUUUCCGAAGCUCAAUCGGUAUGCUCAUGAUGGAUUUGCACUGUUAUACCCCCAACCGCAGUAAAGAGUACCCAAAUCCCACACUGAAACUUUGCUGUGGUCUCGACUUGAUCACAAAACCAGAAUGCAUUAAGAUCCACCGAAAAUCCGGAUAACACAACUUCCAGCCUAAAUAAGUCUGAUUCAGCAAGAGGUUUGGCCAAACGUAAGUUACCGCAUAUUCUACAUCGUUGGGUUAUCUACAUAACAGAGGGCUUGCUCAACAGUCUCUUUCAGUAAUAAUCGUCAGUAACUAGUUACACAACCGAAUGACUAGUUACACACACAACGCCAACUCUAAACUCAUACCAAUAAUGCAUCGGAAUCGACCAACUUUCCUCUAUCAACGUUCUUCCUAAGUUUUCAGCUUACUUUGGUAGUCAGGAGGAAUCCUUAUGUCCAAAUCUUUCCCCUCAUGUGAACAGUGAACACACUUAACUGCAAAACCAAGUCUAGUUCAGCAAGAGACUGGUCCUCAUAUAUAUGCUGUUAACGUUUUACAGAUUAAAUUGUGCAUGGUUUUGUUUUAUUCAGUCGAUUACUCUCGCCCAUCACAUGACCGAAUGAAAUCACGUUACACAUGACCGAAUGAAUGCACGUUAUAACAUAAAAUAAAAUGCCACAAAACAAGGAUCUUGUUAGACUGCUACAAUCUUCAUUUUUCUUCCAACACUUUUCUAAUGACUAGAGUUGCUAGCUGAAAGAAGCCAGUAGCUAGUACUGUAGUAUCGUCGGUUCAGCGGAGCAAACAUCAAUCAAUUAACAUAAACAUGUGGGAUGUAAGAGAGUUAGAGAAGACAUAUGAACAUGGAAGUUGAAUUUAACUGAUCCUAAAAGAAUCUGAAGAGGAAGAGACGAAAGAAUUGGACCAUUCCUCGAUUUAUGCGUUCCGUCAAAGAAUGUGGUACGAUUCUGAUCGUAUCCUCACAACGUUCCAGAAACCCAAUGUGCCCGUGACAGUUCAUGCUCCUCUAUUUCAUACGCUACAUCCCAAAAAAUGAUCAAAAUCGCAACUUUUCAAGGCUCUAGCUUGCAAAGGAUAAAAUAAACGUUUAGGAACUAAUCACUGUACACCUACUGAUGAUCUUUGUAAAGUGCUGCAAUCUUGUUUUUGCUUGACCUAUCCAGAGCUUUUUGCUUCUACCCUUGUAAAAACAGAGGGAGAGAAAACAGAACGGACUUGCGGAAGAAGUAACUAAUAACAACUCCUCGGUUAGUUGCUCCGAAGCACAAAGAUGCUUCUGAGUUUUGAGCUGCUAAACUCAGUUGAUCCAGAGUCUUGUAUCUAUACCAACUUCAGUAUAUUAGAAGAACUAUGUUGUGUGGUUUUGUUUCAAGUUCCAUUGUGUCAGAAGACUUGUGAGUGCAAUAUCGACAGGCGACUAAACAGCAGACUUAACUGCGGCAAUUCGUUCUUGGUGCUGCUUCCAUUGCGCCAUAGGUAGGCUAUGUUGCAUCUGGUGUUCAGAGUAGCAUGCUUAUAGAAACCUUGGAACUGGAAAAUCGCCGAUUCACCAUAGUAGCUCACUUUGGAACAAGAGAGUGAUGACCGAUCAUAUAGAUGGGAAUCGAUCGACGUCAGAAUUUCCGUUUCAUAGCCGUCGAUCGCGCCGAUUUUCUUCUAUUCCCGUUUCUUUAACAAGAAUUCAACCAGGGUCAAAAUCUCGUAAGGAAAGUCAAUAUAUCACGACAUUACGGAGAUAUAUCUCCUCCCGAGUCAUAUCGGCAAUUACACUUUAUCGUCAAUUUAUCGCGUUUCGAAUUUGGUUUGAGAAGUACGAAACGUUUCGCGUUUCUGGGUGGUUUUCGUUUUCCGAGAAUUUCCAAAUUGAGUUAGCCGUCUGCCGUGCCGUUUCGAAUUUGGUUCCAAUGAAUCGAAACGUUUCGACGCAUCUCAUGGUAUUUCGACGUGUUUUUUUUUACAUUUGUCUCACCAAACAAUCUAAAUCUCCACAAACGACAAACCCAUCGUCUCAGCAGCCUCCACCGCUAACAAUGGCCGCAGCUGAUCAUACAGUCCGGCGUCGACAACACAAACUCCCAAAUUGAUGCACCCAAUAAGAGAUUCUUUUCGUACAGACAAUUUAAGAAAAAUAACAAUUGCACUGGAGAUUGGUGGGGUGCGCCAGGCCUUUGCAGUAGUGCAACGCAUAGGCGACGCGCGAGACUUCCCUGAAGCAAGCUUCAGUGGCGGAAAUCUCCCCCUAAAAAAAUAAAUUUAAUAUCGUGUGAGCCAAUGGCUCACAUAUCAGAUAUUAAACUGAUAAGAACAGAUACUACACUUGAUCUUAGCCAAAAGGCCGAGAAAGGUAUGCUUUGUUAUGUGCUUGGAGUUCUUAUUUUAUACCCGGUGCUUCUGCUUCCUUUCCACAAACCAGCGAUGUGGUGUUUUAUUUAUCUGCACUUCCUUCAGCUAUUCUUCUCCUUUUUCCCUAGUAGUAGAGGAAACAACAGCCUUGCUUUGGCUCCGAAUUGAUUGGUUCCAUACACUUCGUUAUCUGGAAUUACUGAAACGCACGAUUUCUUGCCAUGAUCAUACUUGCAUGUUACAUUAGUUCUGGAAAAAAAUAAGUGCCACGACCAAGAGAGAUCAUCGUCUGUCCACCCUUUGUUUACUGCCGUAUCAAUGCCGAAGGGAGAACAUCCAAAUCGAUUACUCGAUAUUACUUGAGAGCAUUUGGUAGUCAGGAAUCCUUAUUUCCAAAUCUUCACCUCAUGUGAAACACACUUAAUUGCAGAACAAGUCUGAUUCAGCAAAGACAAUUGGCCUCUUAUGCUGUCAAGUGCCUGGUUUGGUGUUAGUCAGUAGAUUUUUGAAGGUUCAAGUCCCUCAGCUACCUUAUUAGUCUCGUCCAGCACAGAAACUCAGCAAGUCAUCUUCAUAAGAUUGUAAUCAUAGAAGCAAAACCUCCGACAAAGAGAGUCAUAGCCAUCAGAGCUUGCUGUAUUCGAUAGAGAAGGAAAAGCACGAGGAUUGAGUCGAGGUAGCAAAACCAAAACUCCCAUAACGUUCUUCUUUUGUUCUUCAAAUGGGUUCGAGUCAUUAUAAUGGACACGGUUAUGGAGGUCCCAAAGUUCGAAUCUGAGGUAUAAAAGUUUAUCUUGGCCGCCGUCAAGGUUCAUUCAAACAAGAUGAAUUUUGAAGUACCAAAGGAAAAAACCAGAUGAAUUUUGCAAUAACAAUUCCACUAGAAAGAAACAAGUCAAACUAUUCAUUCAAUCUCCUCCAUCGUCUCAGUAAAACUUCCCCAUAUCAUUCAAUCUGCGUGUCUUAGGGAAGUAUUUUCUUUCACUCUCUACACUUAGCCGCGACAACAAACAAAACUGUAUUACCCCUUCUCUUUCUGAGAAUAAUUACUAUCGUCUUCUUCUUCUAGUAGACAAUGUUUACUUCCUUCUCGUUCAUCUCAAGCACAUGGUCUCUUGCAUCACUCAACGCGCCCUGCACCAAAAGAUACAUUAGAACAAACCAGACAAACCCAGACGGAGGGUAGAACCCAUUGAGAUGAUAGGGAUUGUUCAGAAGACCUGGCCGAAUUUGGUAAGGAAGUUGUUUGCAAGGUUUAUCGAGGCUAUCUUCACGUCUUCGUUGGCUUUCAGUGCUUGAGCUAUCGCAAAAGCUCCGUCAUCCUGAACAGGAGGAACUUAUCAGAACCUAAACAGGCAAAUCCCCGGAGACGGGGAGAGAGAAUAUUAACAAAGGAAAGUGAGCGUACUCGUAUUUCGUUGAAUCCCAGGUCGAGUUCGGUCAGUACUUCAUUUACCACCUUCAAGCUACGAGCAAUGCAGACUGCACCCUGCAAUAUUUCAAAAAACGGAGGUUUAGGUAGAACCGCGGGUGGAAAAGAACACAAAAUCAAGGGCAGGAUGACGAUGAUAAGAGAAACGAUGUACUUCGUCUUUGAGCCCAUUUCCUCUCAAGUCCAACACCGAGAUGGUGUUGUUAUAUUUAAGAGUUUCUGCAAUGUGUUCUGCGCCUUUGGGACCUAUCUGACACCAACCAAGCUUUAAGACCUUUAUGCUGCCAUGAAACUUGAGAAUGUCGGAUAAUGCCUUUGCUCCGUCCGGUAAGAUAGGAUUAUAACCCAUUUCCAACUGAGAACAGGAGACAAAGAUGGGAAACCAGAGAACCUUCUCAACACCAAUAUAUCUCCACACUCCAAAACGAGAAACUCACUGUCGUGAUAACAGAGUUAUCUUUGAAGACACGAGCUAUUGCAGUGAUCCCGUUGGUCCGUAUGUUAUUUCCUCCCUGUAUUGUUUUAGAUCCUUAUAUCAUGAGUAUCCUACAAAAGAGAAAGAAUACUUUGCUUACUUAGUCUUCUCACCAGAUCUAUGAUUGAUAUACUCCGGUUCUCCUUUAAACCAGCAGCAAUCUCCUCCGCACCCUGACAAAAGUUUCAGGAAAAGUUCAAAUCUAAGGACCAUAUCCAGCAUCUGUUUCAUUAAGGCAACAAAAGGUAUACUCCCUCAGUGACUUUGUUACCUCGUCUCCCAAGUCAUUCAUGUACAAGUUCAGCCAAAACAAGCUUUUGCUCUUCUUUAUGUAUUCAGCAACAUGAAAGGCACCGGUUCCGCUUAUUGAGUUGUUGCCGAGGUCUAGAUGAGUGAGCUUUGCUGAAAAGCGUAUAGAAAUGUUAGAAUUUAUUAUCCUGAGCAUCUUGUGUUAUGACAAUAGCAAAAGGACAGACCUUUACUGGACGACAACCCUGAUAUCAGAGCACGAGCUCCCUCGUCACCAAUUGAAUUUCCUUGCAAGUGAAGUUCCUGAAGGAAUGCAACUCCUCUAUAUAAUCAAGUAAGAAACUAACGUAUAAUACAAUCAAGGCUAUGGCUAUGUAAGUUCGAUCAAAGAGGAGGGAUUUUAGAUGCAUGAAUGUGAGCUGUACCUGCAACGCCUUGUUCCCCUCUAGCCCUUUCGCCAAAGCAUUAACACCAAGUGUUCCCCCAUAAUUGCCACUUGAUUAAUAGAGAAAAUAUCCAGCGUAGAAUAGCGAGACAUUAGAAACGACAGAUGGAAAUAAAUACAACUACAGAAGGAAAUAAAUGACCACAACUACUAACUUGAGAUACAAACUUCGUACUGUGUUGUUCUCGGCUAACGCUCCAGCAAGACUUGUAAAUCCCUACUUACAUUUCCAUAGUAAUCAUAGGCAGUGUCAAUACUGGCAACUUUGGCUGCUUAUCAAGUUGUAUUAAAUGAUAUGAAGAGGAAAUAACUUACAGAAUAAUCAAUCAUGUUGUUGUUAAGUUCAAUCACGCGUAAGAUUGAGUUUUUCUUCAGCAGGUCUGCAAUAGCUUGUCCACCCUGCCAGAGCACAAACAUAUAGGAAUGAAAUAUGCAGUUAGAUAUACAUAUCAGUUGUGAAAUCGAGAGCAUCAUUUCAGUAGAUUACUGAGUACCAAAGAGUUGACUUACCUCAUCACCCACGUCAGCACUAUUCAGCUGGAGCUUUUCAAUACCAGUAUUGUUCGCCAACAUUGCACAUAGGAUCUGUUGAGGAAAUUUGACAGCAAAGCAUAAGAGAUACGGAAUUAUAAAGUAGACAAAUGAUGUGCAAAAGAACAUUUAGUACACGAGUUCCAUAUCCUUCAAACUAGUUCAACGUUGGAGUUAGACCAACCUUGGUUCCUUCAUCUCCAAUGGCAUUCCCAGAAAGGUUCAGAGUCUUCAAAUAAACGUUCGUUUCAAGAACCCCUUUAAAAGCAUUUAUCCCUUGUGCCGUUAUUCCAUUAGAAGCAAAGCUAACUUCCUCUAGAGUCUGAAACCCAACUGACGUCAGAUAAUACUAAAAGGAAUAUGAUAACUGAACCAGAAGGAUCGAGUCGCAGGACAACAACAAAAACUGAGCUGAGAAGAGAAACGCAACCUUGUUGUAAGCCAGGUUCGUAGCAAGGACGAACAUGCCUUCAUCUCCAAAAUUACACCCUGUCAAGUAGCAGGGAACCACAAACUCAUUCACAUAAGAACCCUACUGUACCCUUGUGAUUUGGCCAUCCAAAACUAUUUGCUGGAAAACUAAAUCAAUCGAUAAAGUGUAGUCGCUAUACCUGACAUGUCAACGCUUCCGUAUCUUAAUAACUCGUUGGCAAAUGCAUUGAGUGUCACCUUGGCCUCAUUGGAAGAGAAACUCGACAGCAAAUUCGAUCCAGCACCAAAAGGCCAACUCAUUCCCUUGGCAGGAACUUCCUUUCCCUCCACUGCAACCCUUUCCUCCACUGAAGGGUUACCUGGCUUUGGCUUUAAGAAUUUCUCCGCCAAUUUCCAUAGAACUGUUAGUUGAAACUCCAGUUAGCACCACUUAAUUCUCGAUACACAAAUCCUUAAAAUCACUUGAUCAUAAAAAUAUCUAAUUGCAGCAACCUAAGCCUACUAAUCAUCCAAGUGAUCAGCAUUCAGUCAAAUUACAAUGCCAAAUGUGAUCAAUCGCAAAAUUCACAAGUAGCUGGGGGAAAUUAAUUCCAUACCGAUGCUAGCCACGAGGGCCACGCCGGCGGGAAGCGCGAACGAAGCAAUCUGAUGCACCGGAGGAUCACCGCCGAAAGAACUCUCUCUUUGGGACUGCUUAUAGACUCUCCGGCCACGACCGGACGUCGAAGCUGCGGCGUUCACGACUAAGCGCUUGAACCUGAAACAUCUUCUUCUCGAAGUAGAAUCCGAAGAAAACGACAACAGAAGCGCGCCUUGAGCUCGAUAGCGCAGCGCGGACGGAGGGCGAGCAAUCUGCAGAAGCUCUUAUGUCUGAGAAAAGGAAAGGAGAUAAGAGAAUACAAUAAGAAGUAGAAGACGGUACCUGAGGAUGAGAGCAGAGGGAGAGAGUGGAAGAAGAACUCAUGGGGUUAUUGUGAGGAUUCUAAAUGCGCAUAGAGAAGAGUGUGAGUUCUAAUCUUAAUCGACAGAGCACGGCGGAGAUGGCGGCGGAGGAGGAGAUAGAAAGCGGCGAAGGCGAACUCCGGGCGGCGGGGAAUUUAUUUUUUCAGCUGGAUUUUUAGAUUAUCUAGCCAUUAAUGUCAACGACCAUUUCGGAUUACGGGGUCGGGGUGGGAGUGAGAGUCAGUAUUGGGCUUCUUUGUCGGGUCGGGUUGAAGAUGUUUAUGACAAGACGGGCUUUUAUCCAAAUAAAGUCCAUAGUUUACUGAUGAUAGUGGGUUUGGAUCUAUACCAACUCAUCAGGCCUGUAUGGGGCAAGCCUACCCAUGAUGAACCCGAAUAGUCGCUCAUCGUGUUGAAUCAUCGAGCUAAAGUCUAACCAUAAGAGGUGACAUCGUUAAGAAUUUGAUUAUUUCAUGGAAAUGGAGUGUAUUUUAUAGAUAAUUUGUAUUGCUUUAUAUAAGUAUUUAUAGCAAAGGAAUCGGUUAAGAGUUUGAUUAAAGUCUAAUCAUACGAGGUGCCAUUAUUAAGAGUUUGAAUACCAUGAGAAUGAAGUAUAUUUUAAAGUUAGGUUGCUUUAUAUGGAUAUAUGUAGUAAAGAGAUUGGUUAUUGUUUUCGAUAUUCAUGUUAGUUUCUCAUGAUCACAUUUGAUUGGGAGCUGGAUCAACGAGACUAAUACUUGAAAUUGAAUGCUAUAUAGUAAUCAAGAAUCAAAAUUGAUUCGAGAGGAAUUAUGACAGAAUUUCAAAUUGUUUGAAAAAGAUGGAUAAAUUCAAGAAUAUAUGACAUACGUGUUGUUAGAAUUGUGGGUUGUUGUCCAACUAUUGAUGAGGAGGGACGAUUCUUCUCAAUAACACUUUUAAAGAUUGUCAACUUCUACAAAUUGCUAUAUAAAGAUAGCCAUAAUUGAAUAUGUUAAUGAGAAAGACAAUCGAGUUACUAACUAUACUUAGCUAGUAUAUUACAUAAACUAAUAAAAUUGUGGGUAAAAAGUUACAGUUGUGUAAAAUAUGACUAGUAUAAUAGUACAUCUAAACGUUUUCUCACAUCAAUUUAAUUUCGUAUAAACUUCUUAACCUUGACACUCCCACUUGUUAACAAAUUCGACCUCCAAUACGAUUCUAACAGAAUUAUCCACAAUCCCCAAAUCCAAUAGAGACCGAUAAUUGAGCAUGGGAGGCAUCGUUUUCCGACAUCAGCUUAUCAAAUAAACCAAAUUCCAAAUGAACAUGGACAAAUAUCUGCAUAUCCUAACAUACCAGAUGGCCAACCCUCGAAAGACACCAGAAAUUAAGGAAUCCAUGGCGGGUUUGCAGCUGCUUCUUUGUUCUUAUAUGCUCUUCUUUCUCAUCGACACCACACCACUAUGUUUUUACACUUUGUUCCAUCAUCUAGGCCAUGUUUGGAAACAUUUCAAUUCAAUCCAAAUAGAAUUGUAUUUCCAUGACUGCUGAAAUGCAAUUAAUUCUUCUUUCUUAAUUCAACUUUCCAGUCAUAGCUUGUACCAACCUCAACUCAAUUUCUUUCCAUAUUUUCAACUCAGCUUUCCUAAAAACAUAAUUAUCAUUUCCAAAAGUCCAAAACUAGGCUCCUACAUGGGUAAGAACAAAAACCAGCAUAUAAGCUUUCAUCGGUCACAACGAAACCACAAUGCCAUAACUCACCCGCAUCAUACUCCUCUAUAUAUAUAUAUACAAUCACACAUGUAACAAGCUCAUCAUUCACACAUUCUCACUCAACUGAAGAUAAAACAAACCAAACCAUUUUCAUCUUCCAAUUUCCCAACAUCUGAGAUGUCCUCUGCUGCCAUGGCUGUCAAGCUCAUUUUCGGAGCCAUCUUCGCUGCUGCAUUGAUUGCGGUAGCUUCUGCAGGUGACAAGAUGCCCCCUAUGCCAGGGAUGCCUCCUAUGCCUGGGAUGCCACCCAUGGACAUGGCUCCGACUCCGACCAACGGUUUGAAUGGCUUUGUGGCUCCUUCCAUUGCUGUUGGAGUUGUUCUUGCCAUGGCUUCUUUCAUCUUUGCUAGAAUCCAAGUCUAGAUAAGGAAAGGAAGAGCUUAUAUGUCCAUAAGUUGGAUCUUUAUUUUCUUGUGUCUGGUCUAGUUUGCUGAGUGUUUCUAUCCUAUUUUUAUAUCCAUAUGUGUCCAAUAUCUGAUGUGAUCAAUUUCAAUCGUUUGCUCAACUUAAUCUAAAAACCUUGUAUAUGUGUCCACAUGAUCUGACCCGAUCCGAUCUCGAACAUGAAGAACAAUGGAUUAUGGCCUUGUUUUUUCGCACUGGAAUUAGCCGGAUUUCGGGGUCAAUUUUGGACUCCGGAUCAAUUACCUUUUAUAUAUUUUCAGCAGUCAUAUUAUUUUUUUGCUCAAAGGAUGUCCAUUCAGGCUGAAAUUCCAAGCUGCCGGAUUUUACAUUGAAAUGGAAUUCGGAGGCUGGAAUUAGGCGGAAUUAAUCCUCAAGUUUGGCGGAAUUGGGGUUACGGAAAACGUAUCUGAAAGAAUUGGUUGGGUGUAUGGAAUUGAACCUCAAAUCCGACCAAUUCCACCCCAAACCGGCCGCGAAAAAACAAUACCAACAUUUCCAAUUCCGCUGGAUAUGGGAUCUUGAUUCUGCACGAUUCCAACGCCAAAUUACGAUUGGAAAGGUUCGGAUUUGGCAUUCAAUCGGUGGAUUUGGAAAUUCCGGCCGGAAUUGGGAGUGAGAGCGGAAAACAACUAUAUGUAUGUAUGCCAAGGAAAAUAUUAGCAGUAAGAACUAGAACUCGUGGUAGAAUUAGAGAGAAAAGAAUGUGCAAAGGAAGCAUGUACAGCUGCCCCUACAGGCAAAGCAUCUUCAUCUAGGAAAAAAUAAGGGUUAUGAGGAGGGUAAAUUGCCCCCAAUUUCUCAUUCCUAAUCCCUAAAAACAUGAAAGAGCCAGGAACUCUAUCCAGGUAAAACGCAAAAUCCUCACUCCCCAUGAAGCUAGGGGACACCUUAGUGUUGGACUCCCCAACCACAUCUCUCGAGACUCGCGUCGCGAGCUCGUACACACCCUCGUCGUUUAUCGUGGGAGGAAUCGUUGGAUGUUCGCUCCCGUCGAAAUCGACUUCCGAAGUGCACCUAUGGACCGCCGCCUGUGCACCGAUAACUUCCUUGAUCCUCUCCCUUAACGACUUGAACGUCUCCCUGCUGAAUGCCCUGAAUGUUCCCGCUAUGGUGGUCGAAUCCGGAAUCACAUUGAACGCGUUCCCACCGUUGAUCAUCGCCACCGAAACCACCUGUGAAUCUAGAGGGUCGGCCUCUCUCGACACGAUGUUUUGUAGACUAAUGACCGAGGAAGAAGCUGCGAUGAUCGGAUCGAUUGAGUUUUGAGGAAUGGCAGCGUGGCCGCCUUUCCCGGUGAUCUUCGCCUUGAAGCUUCCGCAUCCGGCCAGGAACUGUCCUGGCCGGGAAGCAACCGAACCGGUUGGAAACACGUGAGCUAUGUGGAGGCCAAAGAUUGCUUUCACAUUGUCCAAUGCGCCUUCUUCAAUCAUGUCUUUCGCUCCGCGCCCUUUCUCCUCUGCCGGUUGGAAGAUCAGGACAACUGUCCCUUGCAAUGUGUCUCGAAUCUGUUGCAGGAUCUUUGCUGCACCCAGCAGCAUUGCCACGUGAGCAUCGUGGCCGCAAGCAUGCAUUUUGCCGUCUACUUUGCUCUUAUGCUCCCACUCCACCAUUUCCUGAAAGAGAAUCAACAGCUAAAAACUAAGAACAAGUCCUCUGGAGUUGUUGUGACCACAAAAGUUCCAAUCUUUUUUCUGGGUUCAAGAAACCCAGAUCAGCCAAAUGAGUAACCCUCAAUGUUAUCAAAAACCAAUCAUGAAUCUCACUCAAUAAUAACUAGGAUGCAACAGUUCCAUACAGGAGUUCCAUACAUGGCAUCAGAGCUUCCGAGCAAAAGGUUUUAAAAUCAAUAUUGUUAGUUCCCGGUAUAACAAUUGGUCGAUCUUCACAAAUUUCAAUCGCCUUCAAUGAACCUCUACUAACCUAAGCAACGAUUCUCUACCUCGACUCAUAACUGACUACAGAAGAAGCCAUAGUCAUCAAGUAACAAGGAAAACUCAGCUUAAUUUAGCCGGUGGAAAAAAAGUUGAAUGAAAUGUUGAGCAAUUUUACAUUUACACAAAAAGGUUUAGAUCCUGACGAAGUGAUAUUUAAGAAACGAAUUUUUCAUCCAACUAUACACCGGUCAAACCAAAGGCUCAUCAAACAGCUCAGUACACUGUUGUGGACCAGUAGCUCAGCAACAACCAACUUCCCAGGAAGAAAAAUGACCACUUUUUUCCAAUAAUUGUGAACUCAAGUGGUUGAUGUUCAAUAGAUUACAACUUUAAGCAAAUUAACUAUACACCAAUCAUUUUAUAACGAUCAUCCGUACCCCCCUUUUGUUCUAAGCCAUAAAGGAACCACUCAAAGGAAAUAUCUUUUUCUAUAAUGGCCAGCCAAUAAUAAUUCCUGAAAUCAGAUUCGCUUUCCCCACAUUGAAAAAGGAUUCCUCUGCACUGUGUUCAUUAUAGUAUAUUAACAGAAAAAAAAAACGUGGGACCGACCGGCGACGAUUAAAAAACCAAUUACCCAAAAAUCGAAUCAAUCAGAAAAUAAUGCUCCAGAAAUUGAAAUUGGAAUUUUUACCUGAAUAGGCAGAGCAUCCAUAUCGGCUCUCAGAGCGACGAACGGCGGCGAACCGCUCCCCACCGUGGCAACAAUCCCUGUCUUCGCGACCGGCCACCGGUACGGAAUCCCUAGCCGAUCGAGCUCCUCCCUAAUCAGCUCACUCGUUUGGUAUUCCUCAUAAGCCAGCUCCGGGUUCUCGUGAAUCCUCCGCCGUAUCCCCUUUAUCCAAUCCACCGUCGCUUUAUCAUUAGCCAGCUCCACGAUCCGCUCCUUGAUCGAACAGUUCUUCGAAUUGGGUGCCAAUUGGAAGCUCAGGGACUGAUCACAACGGCAGAGAAAGGAAGCGAUCAAGAGCAGGAUGAUUUGCGCCGCCGCCAUGGCCGCCGGAGAGAGAAUUCGUGGCGCGGGGAGGAAAUGAAAUCAAUAAAAACAAAAACUAGGAAUUGAGUAUUGGACAAUUGUGUGGGUUUUAAUUUAUAGUGGGGAUCUUUAUUUUUUUUCCCAGGUUUGAUUUUUCUGGGUUUGGUUUUUUUUGGGGUGGGUUAUGUGGAAUGAAGAGAGAAGUUAGGAACAGAGAGUCGUGCGCUGGCGGGGAGGAUUAUAUGUAAUUAAGAUAAUGUGGAUCACGUGCUGGAAUACGAUUUGGAAAGUGAGUGGAUACUGUGUGCUAAAUGCCUGAAUUCUUUCGUCAUCGUUUGAAGAAGUUUAUUACUUGGGGUUGACGGUGAUUUAAAUCAACCCAGCCGGUCGGAUCGUAUAUGCAACAUCCGAGAUUAAUUUCGAGUACGAUCCUCUUUACUCGAAUAAACCCAUUUAGAGAAGUUGGAUAUGCAAUCAGUUGAGGAUGAAGUUUUCAUAACUUUGGUUUUUGUGUUAUGGUUUUUUUUAUGAAGACGUCGAGAAGGAAGGAAUCGAGAUGAUUUGUGUGAAUUCCGAAGAUUAUGUGGUUAAUGGAGUAAUUGGUCGUUUGUUUUACAUAACUUCGAUUGUUGGUGAGACUAGAGUUGUGUUCGCUACUUGUUUUCUCACUUUUCGAGAGAGAGAUAUAGGUCAUGUUUGGUCUUAUUAUAGAGAGGUAGGUGGUUGAUGCGUGCUAUUCAAAAAUUGAAGAAUGCUAUGUUGAUAUAGCUGUUGUGUAUGAGAUUUUGAAAAAAUUUCUUCUGAUUCAGGUUCAUUACUGUCCUCGUCGUUUUUUUUUCCAACAUGUAGCAGAUACAAUAGUAAGGCAAACGAGAGACAAGAAAUUGAGUUUUUAUUUGUUUAGUGAUUUUGUUACCUGUUCGGGUUCCAUCUUUGUGUAAUUCUCAAAGUACUCUAUCUUUUGUUGGUAUGUAACACUUGUUUAGACUUUUUCAUUUAUUUGAAUAUAUAUCCCGUGUGAUUAUGAGAUGAAUAAUAAUUAGUAAUCUGUGAUUCUAAUUAAAUAUGGCAUUUUAUUUUCUUUUCAAUAUAUGUGUAUUUCAGUGCACGUUUAAAAUCCUAUAUUGUACUAGAUUCAAGGAACAAGAACAAAAGGAUUUGUCUUUUGAAAGGGAAAAUUUGUAAUAAAACAAAAAUAUUCGAAGCAAAGCUACCAAUGCGCAUAAGACAGCUUACAAUUGUGAUUAUGGAUUGUGAUAUCAUGUUUUAGUCAAAUGAUUUUCCACCCCCAAAGUCCUAAUUCGCCAUCUCUCAUGAUGAUAUUCGAUUAAUAAAAAGGAAAUUUGGUCGUCAUUAAAAUGAGUAGAUCGUAUGCUUUCUACCUCAAAGGUAAUGUGUAUGUCGAGAAUAGAAUUGGAUUUGGUUUGGCAGGUACAAUGUUGAAUGUAAUUUGAAUGAGAAUUGAAAAAUUAGCUCUCUCUUAAAAUACACUUUGUUGGGAUCUAAAUUUCUCAUCCGGAUAGAAAAUUUGUCAAAAUCUCAUCCAACUUUCCAUACACCAAACCAAGUCGUAAUGAAUGAGAGCGAUAGCGUCGCAUUUCUUAGCCUAUGUACAACCAGGAGCCGUCACCAUAUGGUAUAGCCAACAAACUCUUCUUUAAAAUUUAAAUAAACAUGUGUAGAAAUCAAAUUCACUGUUAACCAAAUGUCUAUGCUUGGACCUAACUAUUCAUAUGUCAACUUAAAUUAUAAUUUGUGUACCUACCAGUAAUUUGUCACCGUCAACGUACGGCCUUAAUUUCCAAUGAUUUAUUGAGAUUAGGAUAUAGGAUCAUUAUCAUACUAUUAUUUUGAUAUAUAUUAAUUUCAAAUUAAGGUGAACAUUGUCCCCACGGAAUCAAAGAGGGAACAACUUUAUAUUACAAGAAAACUAUGAACCAUAUGAUGACAUAAAUAUAAUUCAAGUUUUGUUCAUAGGGGUGUUAACAACUCAGUUGAUAAUUGACAUCCUGCAAUACGUCUAGUGCCCUUUUUUUGACGUGUUCAAGACGUACACUUCACUAAUUAAUCCAAAAUUCAUAUCAUUGAUAGCAUGGUUCUUCCCUACCCUCAAACUUAAUUCCAAUUCUAGGGAAAACGUAACACUAGGGAUUAAUAACCAUAUCAAUUCAAUAGUGGUUUCUGGUUUCUUGAUUUCUUCCGGAAAAAAACCUCAUUGGGAUGAAGUCGGAGAAGUGGUUUUUGGAUUGAAGUAGAAAGCUCGUACAAAUUUUAGUCAUCUAAAAAUCAUGUUUUAGAUCUAACGGUUGAAAAUAUAAAGGGCAACAUUGACAUUUUAUAGUUAUACAAUUAUAUAUACUAAGUAUUAUACUAAUAAUUGUACUAAGUCAUGUAAUACUUAAUACAAUACUUUAGUAUAAUAUAUACUUAGCAUUACACUUUGUAAAAACCUCAUACAAAUAUGUAUACACUUCUAUAUGGGUUUGUAUAAAUAUAUACACAUUUGUAUGAUCAUUACAACUCUUCGUACAAAGUUGUACCCCCGGUCGUCGGAAAAUAUUUCCAGGAAAUUGUUUUCACAGAAACGUAGAGUCGACGACGGUGAUCACGUGGGUGAAAAAAAUUUCAUCAACGGAGAUCGGCAUCAUCACCGAGUAAUUGAUGGGGAAACUUUCUGGUCACCGAAGAUGGUAAUCCGGCCAUCAAAAACAUGGUUGAAUGUGAUUGAAAAUAGUUAAGUUUUGAUCCAACAAAAAAUUAAAAAAAAAAUAACUACAUACAGUGAUCCAAGAAUCCGUGUUACUCCUGGGUCGGAUCGAGGAAGCUGUGUGCCUGAUUCCAGAAUCGGACUCCCUGAUGGGAGUAGAAGUAGCCGUAAAAGUAAUCAAAUAAUAAUUAAUAAGCUGGAUAAAGUUUUCAACUAACCAAAAAAUACUAAUUAGCAGCCAUUGAUGUGCAGUACAUGGGGUCAAAUUGUAAAGGCCAUAUUCGUACUUUCACCGAAUUCAUAAUAUUAUAUAAUGUUGGGUUACGUUGAAUUAUCCAAUUAAGGUUGUUGAAUUCUUCAACUUAAUUUUUUUGCUUAAAAAGACUGUAAAAAAGGUGUUAGUUAGAAAGGUUAUAUAUACAGGUCUGGAAUUGAACGAAGCAGUGACGUAAUUUUUAGAGGUGGUGGUGAGUUGAAGUUUACGUGACUAAUUUCUUAACUUAUAUAUUCAUGUGGAUAAGCAAAGUUGCGUUCACUAUCUUUUCACCAUGUGCAUGUAUCAUGCAAUAUGUGUGAAACAGAUGAAAACGAGGUUCGGUAAAAUUCCCCACUCCACGUCCCAAGUUACUUUUUCAAAGCUUCCAGCUUCACAGUCACACUUUUACUCUUAUUUACAAUCAUUUUUAACCUUAUUUGACUUAAAUUAAAAAAACGUAACUUAAUUUUUUAAUCAUUUUCAACAUAUAUGUCAAAUAUUAGUCGAUUUGAAAUUUUUUUAUUUUCAUGUAAAAAUUGUCGAUGUUGCAAAGGGGCNNNNNNNNNNNNNNNNNNNNNNNNNNNNNNNNNNNNNNNNNNNNNNNNNNNNNNNNNNNNNNNCACGAUGUUAACCUCUCCAAAUAAUAGUCAAAUGAAGUUAAAAACUAUUUUUGUCUUGAGACUGUAUGGUAAUGGUGUUAUUUUUAGUCUUGAAAAUUUUCAAAUUGACUAACUUUUUGAAGAUGGUAAAGCAGCCGAUGAUUACAAGUCCAUCGCGAACUUGCUUCGAGCUAACUUGAUAGUAAUAUAUUUGAUGUAAACUUAAAAUUAAUUAUACGAGUAGUAGCUAACUUGAUACUUAUACUUCACUGCUUCAAAAUAAAUAAAUUUCUUUAGUCAAUAUUUAAUUUAAUUUAUCUUCAUCAUAUUUUCUUAGAGUAAUUGAAUUUGAAUCCAGUACCUACGAAUUACCGGUACCCAACCCUACCAAUUGAGAUAUGUACCCUGCUUGGACUCAUCAAAUCAUUUUACUCGAUUUUCAUGAAUUUAGAUCAUCUCCUCUACUCAAAUCGGGCUAGAUUUUGGAAUCGAGUUGGGUUGUGUUUCAGAAACCAAGGAAACGGCUGGUCACGUACGUUCAUGCAGAGGUGACAUGCUAUAAUUUAGCAGACGUACGUGACUAUAAAAAUUAAUUUAUUAUAAAAGAAUAACAGAGCAUGUCGGUAGGCUGGUUAGCUUACCAUUAAACAAAAAUAAUUAUACAAACUGCACGCACGUACGACGAAACCCCCUUAUGAACUUCCACGCAAUAAUCCAAACCCCAAAACGACAGAGACCCAGUUAACGAGUUCAUUCCGUGGCCGCGUUUUUGGCCUUCUUGUUAUUCUGUGCGAUGUCUUGAUCGAGUUACGCGUAUAGUUGGAUGGUUUCGAACCAAUCGUAACAUUUUGAAUUGCGUUCAGCUGCAUAUAAAAAUAUACUAAUUUCGAUAAAGAAUUAUAUAUUAUCAAAAUUCUAAAUCUAGUUAGAUAUGAGUUGGUCCGUGAGGUAGAAAAAUCUUCUUUUAGAUCCGCGAGUGUGCGUAAUAUAUAUACAGACAUAUAAGUAAGUAACGAUAUGGAAAAUUUAUACAGACGGGUUUUAGUGACCAACAAAUAAGUGAUCGUUUUCUAGUAAAAUGGUUACUGAUAAAUCAAAACAAUCACUAAUAAUUUAUAAUAACUAGUAGAUUAUUGAAAACCGGUCAAAACAGUCUCAUAUUUAUGGUCCCUAAAAUUACUUGUAGUUUUAUCGAUUGAAAAGUGAUGUUUCACACCGUUUGCAACCGUAAAACGUAAAUUUUCAUGAAUGAAGAAAUGUCCUCGUGCAUGUAACUUACAAAAAGAGUUAGUAGGUGCGCACCUAAGCCCAUUUCCGACCCGUAUUUUUAAAUUUCGUUGUAAAUAAUGUCCGUAACUCGGCUAAUGCCGAUAUCCUCCACAUAGUCCAACUUUGGAAAGGGUCAGACAUCCGCAAGUAUGGAUUUAGUUUCCAUUUCUCAUAUCUCGUAACGCCCAUAACUCGAUCCAAUGGAGAGUCGGAUAUCCGCGAAUAUGAAUUUCGUUUGUGCAAUUUCUUGUGGCUUUUCAAAGUGGCGUGUGCGUUUGCUUUCACCCGGAAAGAAGCCGGCAAAGGCCACGUGAAAAUAUUGGGUGCCAUCAUGAUCAGUCUCUGUCCAGGGUGGGGGGCCUAUUUACAAUAAUGAAAUAUAUAAUAAUGUCUAGACAAACAGAUCCUUAUAGCAUUUAUCUAGCUAGGGUUCAUCAUCAUUUAAUGGCUGGCUGUGUAGGCCAACUCGUUGAUGUUAAUUGGGAUAGUUGAUGUGUCGUCGGUUGUCUGCGUCCAGAAUGCUGAAACUAGUUAUAAACAUGGGCGGGCGGAACUAGUACCAAAACUUUCUCCUCUUUUCCCUUUUUCUUAAUUAGACAGAGAGAGUGACGACUAUUGGUAAAAUCGGGUUUGUCGGAAAGAUCGUGUACGGCCCAUUCCGGCCACCGGUAUAAAUACGUGUGUGUACCGUUGAUUUUGUACCGCGAUGGGAUUUGAAGUCGGAGGAGGAAGAAUGAAGGCGAGAAGGAGGGGAAUGGGGAGUAAGGAGAGAGGACUUUGCUAAGUAAUUGCACCGUGAAUAAUUAACUCAUCAUAGAAUGUUAAAUUAAGGUAAUUAUAUAGAACAGGUUUUUAUACCAAACAUAAUGCAGUUUGGUUUUGUAAAUUAUGACGUCAUGUGAUAUUAUGAUUACUAAACAUUCAAUUGAUUUUAGCCACGUAACGUGGUUUUGACUUGUGCUAUAUUUCCAAAUUAUGAUUAAAUGUUGGAAGUUAAAAUUGGCGCGUCAGGUUAUUCAAAUAAAAUUUGUUCCAUAGACGUGAUGUGACCUAACGUGAGUGAAUCAAAAUUAGACUAAUUAAAGACCAAUGUCAGAAAUUCAAUGGCAUGUUUCUGUUUCAUAAAUGUUAUCAUUCAAUUUCAGAAAAUAAAGUAUAAAAUACAUUUUAUCAUAGCUCCAAAUUAAUACAUCAUUAUCACUAAAUUUUAAUUUGCAAUCACACUAACCACCGAACUAAGUUAUGUUCAUCAAGUACUACCAAAUUAUAGUUUCUUUCCUAAAUCACCAUUUCUUUAUUUUUUCAAAUGAAAUGCCGACAUGGCUCAACAUAACCAACAUUUAGGAGAUGAGUAAGCUAUCAAUCCAUCGUUUCGAUCCCUAACUUGCUAAUCCCUAAAAAUAAAGGUUUUGGGGACUUUUUUUCUAGUGUUGGGUUUGGGUUUUGGGAAAAAGACAUGUGAUGGUGGUUGGCCUGAAGUGGUGUUAGUUCAGUUUUGGAUAGCUUCCGUGCUGCUUUCAAUAUGUCUUGUUUGGUUAGGCAGAGAUCCAUGAUAGCAAUAUUUCCCUCUUACAGAAAACAGACAAACAAAACCAAUAGGUUUCAUUUUGAUACCAAAGAUAAUAAACAAGGAAGAAGAUAGAUAACUUGUUUUCUUGUAUGAAACUAAUAAUCCAGUUCUGGGUCAAAUAACUGAAAUUUCAUGAGAAAGUGACAAAGAAGAAACGAUGAAAUUGGGCAAAGCAAAUCUCUCUCUGACAGUAUAACAACAAACAUCAAAACAAAAUGUCCAAACAUCAUGGUAUAUGAAACACCAUAUAAUCAUGUGUUAAUUGUGAUUGUAAUUAGAUGUCAAUUUCCAUUUGAAUGUUAAUUUACUACUAUUCAAGCAUUCAAGCAUUCAGAACACUAUAAAGCUAGGCCACAAGAUGAUAACAUAUAACAAUCUAUAACAAUUAAUAGGGAUAGGGGUAUCAAGAUAAAAAAAAAAAGUGUUGAUGAUUAAGACUAUUGUGACAUCGUAUACCAACUAGUCUAAUUCUUGACUAUUGACGAACUGAUGACAUACUUGUUCGAUUGAAUGAGUUAGAUUUUUGAGCUCUCCAAUUAUACCUCUCUCAAAAUUUCAACAUAGACUUUUAUUGGAGGGGGGAUCAAUUUCCAUAUCACUUUUGAGAUGGUGUCUUUGUUAUCUAACUAUAGAAGAUUAGGUCAAGAAUUCAUGGUCUAAGUUGUGUGUAUUGUGGAAGGACUUGUUAGAAUAGAGACUGUAACGCAUUUAUAAUAACUUGGAAGAACAAGUUAACAUUUUCCAGACACAUUAAGCUGUCAAGGCACCGAAUUUACAGUCCUUCACACACUUGGUCAUUAGUCCUGACCAAGUUUACUAACUGACGCGCCAGCCAAAAACCAAAACCAGCUAGCAUCAUGAUUAGCAGGCCUUUCCCUUGUUUACUUUCAACUGGAUGCUGAACCAAUUCCUUUUCGACCGAUCUUUCGUCGAAGAUUUCUUAUCUUUUGCUUCUCCUCCAUCUUCACGAUGGGUCUCCUUGAAGGAGCCCCUCUUCCGACUUCUGCUCGCACUCCGCUUCAUCGGUGGUGCAACUGUGUAGGCUGUGUGGAUUUCGUUCCUUUGCUUUAAGAGCUCGUCGAUCUGCAAUGCUGAAGAACGUAGGUUUAGAAAGCUUGAUAUGGAUGUAAAAUGUUUAGUAAUGUGAUAGCGUAUUAGAAAAAUGUUCAGAAGUCGAGCCUCUUGCAUCUCCUGGGCGUAUCGACUUGUCAUUUCUGUGAACUGCACCAAAACCUGUCAAAGGUUGGAGAUAUAGUUGGUAAAAGUUGGUCUAAUAUGGCAAUGAACAAUAAUACACAGGGGGGAUUAGUGUAGACCUCUUUGUAUUCGCUCUCGAAUUUCCGUAUUUCUACUCUUUUUUCGAGGAUUUCAGCUUCUACAGCUCUUAGAUUAUCCUUCUCUUCUGCAAAAGGUUUGGCACAAACGGCUUCUAUUGUAUAGCUUACACUUUUGAAAAAAUUAUCGCCUGCAACAAGUGAGCCAUAGUGCAAGAAGUUAGCCUAAUUAUGCAUCAAAAUCAGUAUUACAUGAAGACUGCAACAGGCAACAGCAUCGGCAUCCUACGCAGGGCAGUUCUAGAACUAACCAUAGACAGCAAACACGUGUGUUCCGGCCUUCAAUUCGUUUAUUUCGCAUGGUUGAAAGCCAUCCAGCCUUUUAAAGAAGGCAGCAUCAUCAUCCUUGGCCGCAGCAAGCUUCAACAAUCAAAAGACCAAAUCGAGCAAGGAAACUUGAGCAAGUGUAGAUUGAAUACAGAAAAGGUCAAUGCAAUCUCUUUCUUCACAAAAUUAGUUUACCGAGUUCACUUUUUUAUCCAACCGAUAAGUAGGAAAGCCAAGGAAAUACAUUCCGGCAGACGUAACUUUUCCAGUUCUGGUGCUUUCCUCCUGCAUUUAAAACACAACCACAGGGUUAUUAGAAACUUUACAGAAUAAACCUCAAACGUUCUUACAAAUUUGUGUAGAACUGUAACUUGUUAUCAUCACCAAGAAACAUUAGUGAAGAGCCACAAGAAUAAAAUGAUCUAUACCUGAAGAGCAAGGUUCAAUCCACAGCUUUCUUCCUGAUCGAAGAACAAUAACUGCACAAAGGCAUUUAAAUAGUCAAACGAUCAUCUUAACUUGCAGGCUGGCCAUUUCAUGAAAUUUCAGUACACGGAUUCAACACUGGAUGAUGAUUACGAACCUUGAACUUGCUUUUGUCAGUUGAUUGCACUCGGCAAACAAGACCGGCUUUUGCUUCUUGCUCUGAGAUUGUGACAGAAUAGAAGUGAGCACAUUGCUUCUCAACCUGCUUAAAAGUGCAUCCCCUAUAAGCACCAACCAUAUUGGUAGAACUAAAACAUGAACCAGGACAUAUACCGCACCUUCCGGGAUAUUGGAUCCCCUAGUUCAAGUGGGCAAAUGGAAACUGCACCGUUAAGUGCUUCUUCCAAAAUACUGACUGAUACAGUAGUCUUAAUCGGCACACCAAGUUUACUAUAAGAUGUCACACAAACACACAUGAAUAGAGAUGCUCGACAGCAAGCAUUUACAAGUUAUACAAAUGAAAAUUAACAACAGGAUUAACUUCAAUUUCGAAAACUUUACCUAAAAAGUGCUGCAAACAUAGUGUUCACGGUUCCUAAACUUGAGAGGUCCAGCUCCAGAUCCUGAUUCUCUGCCUCAACAGCCUGAAUCAAUACAAGGGAGCAAGGUAUAAUAACAGAGAAAGAAAACUUUCAAGCUACAGAAUACUCCCGAUCAUUAAAGAUCAGAAAAUUUCUAAAACAGAUUUCAAAAGCAGAAUGAUUCCUUCCUCAAAAUGAUUAUCACUACCAACUUACAUCAAAGCCAGCAUGGUCAAACUGGUGUCUUUUCUCUGGAUCAGACAAAAUGUUAUAGGAGAAUGUAGCUUCUUUGAACAUAUCAGCAGCUUCCGGAUCAUUUGCAGUUUUGUCAGGAUGGUACCUGAGAUACUAUACCAUUAACUUCCCACUAACUAGAUGAAGUAUAUUCAAAUUAAAGGCGAUCAAAUGUAAGAAGAAAUAAGACAAGUGCAAAUCUAAAUUGCUAAAGCUUCACCAUUGAUUGUGGAAAGGGAAUUUAAAUGUUCAAGUACAAGCACUAUCAAAGCAAAAUUCAUCAAAAAUUCUUUCAGAAGCAGGGAAUAUGCCUUUGAAAAGGUGACAAAUUUGAAAAAAAAAACACGAAGGACGGGAAGCGUACUUGAGUGCCAAUUUACGGUACGCGCUCUUGAUUUCCUGGUCGGAGGAGAUCCUCGACACGCCGAGGACGUCAUAAGGGUCCCGGCGGAUCCCGGAAACCUCCUUCUCCGACUUCGAUCGGUGGCCGGGCAUUGUCAAAUCGAGGAGGGGAAAGAAAACUUCCGACUGGAAUUCAAAUUCCCCAAUGACAACGAGUGAAGAAAGAAGGCAAACGAACCCUAAUUAACAGCUAGGAUCUUCUCUAAUAGGUGAAAGAGCGGAAAUAAGCGAAAACCCUAGAGAAGGAAUUGUGUGGGAGGGAAAGGCUCCGCCAUGAGACCUUCCUCCGCCUGAGCUGGAGCUUACCGGAACAGGACAAACUGAAAGCAAAUUCGGUGUAAACUAAUUAAGUAAGAAAUUAUAUAAAUAUUUACGUUAAAAAUGGGAAUAAAGCGACAGAGUGGCAUAAUUUGUUUAUUAAUUAAUUGUUAAUCAUUUGAAAAAGCUCAUCAAUUGGUUCUUUACUUAUUUGACCAUCAUUUUCAUCUUGAGUCAAGUCGUUUGUAGGUCUUCUCACCUUUAAAAAGUUCGAUUAUUAUUUGGUUUAAUGUUAAAUAAUUCAAAUUUAAGUUAAAAUAACAUAAUAAAUUCGUGAGAUGGCUCAAAUUCGAAUAUAUGACUCAUUAACAAAUUUAAUAAUAGAAUUAUUGUUUUGUUUCGAAUACCUUAUAAUAUCAUAGACAACUUAUAAUUAUACCAUGGGUAAAUAACUAAAUGUCUUAUAAAAAAAUUUAUUUUUGAACUUCAUCUAUCAAAUAUUUUUUUAGGAUACAAAUUUUAAUUUGAUCUUAAAUUGGACCAACUUAUUCGAAAUUAGUGAGUAGAGUUUGAAUUUAACUUCGACAGGUGAAAUUUGAAUUGAGUCUAAAAUGUGUAUUAAAAAUGCGUAAAGGAACAAGUGUUGUAUUUUUUAAAAUACAAAUUUAAGAGAGAAAUGAAUAAAUCUUUACAGAUUUUCUCGGGCCUAAUCAUGGUUAGCAAUUAAUCCGGAAAAGCCCAACGGACGGGGCCCUACUAUAUAUACUCACAAACUCAAACUUUUCUUCACAAAUUUUCCGAUCACGAGACGGCGGCGGCAUACGUUUUCCCGCCCCUGCCGGUGAGAAAAUGUUGAAAGUAGACGACACAAAGACUUGCAUUUUGUGGGCAUUACCUUCCCUCUCCACUCACCUUAUCUAUCGAAUCCCCAUACGCCAUUGCUACUUCGUUCAACCCGAGGUAUCUAUCUAAUCCCAAUUAGGGCAUCGCUGUUUAAACAGUUUUCAAUUUGGAUGUUUGAGACCAUAAACCCUAAUUAUAUUAUAUUGUCUUGUUGUUAUCUUGAUCGAUUGAUCCCCAAUGGUUUGCAAGGAAGGAGAGAUGAGCAAAUUCCAGGAGUUGGAGGAAGGUGAUCUGUUACAAAUUCUCUCGGCUACCAGUCAAAACAUGAAAACUUCAGCUAGCAUUGGGGAUGGAAUUCCUUCGAUACUCUAAAGAGGGAGGGUAUGGAAUUCCUUCGAUACACGGGGACGCAAUGGUUCUGUAACUCGGUCCUUACUGUGAUGCAUCACAAAUCCGGUACUUGGAACCCCCAAUGCGCUUCGGCCCAAACGACCGGCCAGGCUCCUAUCAGAAUUUCCCAAUGCAGAUCAUUUCCAGGACCCUGCAAAGGUGUAUAUUUACUCGGGUAUCCCACUAAGCCAAGUCUCGAAUAUUCGCUGUCGAAUCCUGCUACAGCCUCUCUUAGGGAACUUCCCGAACCCGGAACUAACAACUAUGCUCAGAGUUAUGGGUUUGGGAUCGAUACAGUUUUGGACGACUUCAGAGUCGUUCUGAUACUACACUCUCGCCUGCUCGGAAAUUACCCUCGUCGGUCAAGAUUAUGCAGAGGUGGGCGUUCUUCAUCAGAAUCCCCUUCGAGAGUGAUGGUGCCGACACAUGGAAGGAGUUGGACGAGCUUAGGCAUGAUUUCGAGACAGUCGGAUUCACUGAUACCACCUGUACAUGAACGGAUUCUUUUUCUGGUUAUGUGUUUCUCCUGUUGCUGUGCUGGCGUUCGACAUGGGGAAGGACGUUUUCUGGUUGAUAAACGACCCUGCCGAUGCAUCUGACGAAGCGAGACAUUAUUUUUUCGGUAUGCGCUAUAAUUCAUAUGGUUAUCCCAAUGUUAUAGCUGUAGAAUCAAAGUUGGUUCAUCCAAUGCAAAACCCGAAAGAAUCUUAAUGGGUCGGACCCGGCAAAACCAAGCUGCAGGAUUCAUUCAUUUCUGGAAGGCAAGAAUCAAAAUCAACAUUCAACUGCGAAACAAAACUAGGAGACGCUCACUUCUUUAGGAACAUCUUUCCAUUUGAUUCACUUCUCCCUUCCGAUACAAACAAAACGCUGUAACGAACCAAAUAGUAACAGAAAUUUGACUUACCGAUUCGCUAGGAAUAACAACAUACAACGACGACCGAAGUCAAACCAUACAGUCUCUAAAGUAGACUCCCUCUGCCUCUGCUUUAUAAAGAGAGAAGCCUCUUCAGUAAUGUUGCAGCAUACCUUAGCUUCCUAGCGCAUCUUAUCGUCAGAGUUGUCUUUUCGAACGAGGCAAGACGGAAAGAAGAAUCUUUUUCCUCGGCCCCUGCCAUUGAUAUGAAUACAACUUCGUUAUGGGAGAACUCAACUGUGUUGUGGAAGAACUCCCCGACAAACAACAUACACCUACUGAGAAUUUUACGAGUUUAUAGCAUACAGAGCAUGUUGAAUUGAAGUGGACUUAUAGCUACAACGAAAUGGAAUCAUCAAAAGCACAAAAUCUUAUGCAAACCGUGCAGUUGGCUAGACAAUAGUUUUGAAGUGAUUCUUUUACAUAACUUCAGACUCGACAUUCUUCUUGUUUUCCGGUAAACCAGAGGUGAGACUUGAAAGACCGUAGUGUAAUAACUUGACAUAACAGGGAAAGAAAAGAAAAACUUACCAUGGGUAUACCGAGUUCUUUCAGGUCACUUUCACCCAUCUGCUUCAGUACGGUCAUAUCCACCUGGGAGAGUAAAAAAACGGAUGGUUUUAGAUACCAUGUUAACUCAAAUUAGCUUUUUGCACAAAUAAGAUCACAUGCUAGCACAAUCAGAGCCCAUGAAAUGUCUUUUGAAACCGACUCCCUGUUAGAAAUUAAUAAAUUGCUGGUCUAGGGUUUGUCUAAUGGUAAUCUGAUGAUGAACACACUACACAAACUGGGUUCAUCUUCAUGAAAUGCCCUCAGUUACAAAUUCAAUAGAAGUUCCGAAUCACUUCAGUAACCACAGUUUCGAUGGCACCAUACCAAUGGAAUGAACGAAAUACAAACAGUUCAAGUAAUAUAGUCAUGGAUCUUAGGUGCUGCUAAAUGGAAGGCACAUGAAAUCUUGUGCUGGUCAAUUCUGUACAUAGCUGGCAUGGCUACAAUAAGUAAAAACAGAAUGCAUGGGUGGAGUGAAUAAUGCGUCUAUAUACUAGAAGGAAUCAUAGAGAGAGUAUUUGACUUACUUCCUCGGCUUUGAAAAGAACGAUAUAUUUUCCCAAUCCCAGAGAAUGCAGUAAGCCUUCAAUAGUCUGAUGUUCUUCCUCCUACACAUUGCGAGAAGUAAAUAAGGAAGCGAGCAUAUCCAACAGAUAAACAGGGAAAAUACCAAAACCAGAUCAUAAAAUCACCAGUGUCAGUUAUAGGUACAACUUAAAUACUUAAUGAACAGUUAGAUGCCGGCUUUCUUUAACUUUUUUCUUCUUCUUGUUACUCUUAUUGUUAAGUUUUCAUAUAUUCUUGUAGUACUGACAAUAGGAGGCUCAAAGUUAGCAAUAAAACAAAAGAAGGAUGCCAAUUCGUCGAUUGUCGAGCUAAGAUAUCCAUCAUACCUAUUCAACAAGGACCUGGAACAUGACAUUUCCUGGCUCAAAAGACUUAGGUGCACAAGUAAAGUGAAAAAAGGAAGAGACUCAUACCGCAUAUGUCUGUUUCUGCAAACCACUACUAGGUGGAGGAACUGGGCCUGGUAUCGGGGCUGCACUAUUUGCAGAAACAGUAGCCAAGCCUGGUUUUGUCAUGAACUGUGCAGAACUACUCCCAGGCCUUGGAGCAUCACGGACAUCUCUUGGUAUGUAUGGAACUGAUCUAAGAUCAUCAUAGGGUCUGUUUAGUGACCUUGGCUGUACUUCAUCCAUACGCCUUGGCGGAGAAUACCCCCUAGAGCUACUCAUGCCUCUCUCUGGGGCCAUCGAAGAAGUUAUAAUCCUACCAGGAGAUCUCCGUCUUAUAUGGUCCAAAGUCCAAGGGGAAUACGAACUUCUCGAUGAUUCCAUCUGAGAUACUUCACUUGAGCUUCUUACAGGAGGGAUUCGGCCCAAAAGACUAGUCUCUCUGGGAUCUACCACGCUCCCCCGCAUACCAAGAGCACUAGGAGGAUGGCUGGGGGGUCGUGUCUUCCUUGAGAUCUUAUCACGUAGAUCCCUCGGGUCAUCAUCGCUGUGAGUUCUUCUACCCACGUUCUUUUGCAGGAGUUUCAAUCGAAGAUCAUCCUUACCAAUACGAGCAUCUUUAGUUAUUCAAAUUGCACCAGGUCAGUCAACCAGAACUAUUCCAAGAGAAAGAAAACAAUACUGCAAGAACAGUAGGAAAUAAAAUCAUUACCCCUAAUGCCAGAAGCAUUUGAAGCAGACAAGUAACUAUCACCUCUUUGCCUGAAAGAUGGGCAAGUAACAUCAUAACUAAAAAUUCACGUCUCCCGCAUUAUAUUCACCAGUAAUGUUGUGCAGCUCAGUAUUUAACCAUAUGAAAACCAACAACAGAACGGACAGAAUAAGCAAGAGCGAGCAGUAGAUUCUAAACAGCACGAAGUUAUUAGAAGAAAAGCCAUCAUCAAAAUUCAAAGAAGUAGCCAAACACACCGUUUGCCGCGAGACACUGAACUCUCUGCGUCACCACCCAGCCUAUCUCUCACGGAGCGCUUCCCACCAGAACCUAACAGAGAAUCUGAGUAUCCAACGUCCGAUACUGCUCGUCUCACAACCUAGCAAGCCAGCGUCUCCGAUUUCAGCAACCAACUGAUGACCAUCAGCGCAAAUAAAAAGGAAGAUGGAAAUACCUGACCACCACCGCCAAGGGUAAUGGUAACGCGACCAUUGGAAGCUUCCGCCAUAGCAAGUCCCCUCCAAGAAAGACCUAGCAAAACCAGCUCGUCAAUCAGGAACCUAGCGUCAUCCUUCUGGCACUCGGCGCAAACACAAAGGUGAAGGAUCAAUUCUCCGGAUGGAUAUAUCAAGAGAAAACCCUAACCUCGAUUUCUCAAAUCAGAAGUUAGACUUGCGAAAUUCAGCGAUUACGGAUAUGAUGUCUUCCCCCUUUGAUGAAUGAGACUGAGGAGCUUUCGUCAAAUUAUUGAAGGAAUCUGUAAAAGAGAAUAGAUCUAUUGGCAGAGAUGGAGAUAUUACAGUGCUCCGAGAUCUACGGUGGUUUCCGUCCCGAAUUCGUAAGCUUCAAUGGGAGGCGUCUGAUUGGGCGACUGAUUUUCGAAAGUCGAUUCAAAAUUAUUCGUUAUUUUUCCCGGUGGGUUUUGUUUUGGGCUUGUUGGGGUUCUACUUUGGGCUUGGAUUAGAAUUACAGGAAGUGAAUAUGCUAGAGCUCCAAUGAAAUAUAGUUUUAUUGUUCGUUAUUCGAAAGUAUCGAGUUUAAAUAUUUAACACACUUUAUGAAUGAAUAUUAAUAUUUUUUUUUUUAUAUUUUAUACUGAAUGAGGGUUUUGUUCAAAAAUAUAAAAAUAAUAGGCAAGCUAAGAAUGAUCGUCUAUUGCUAUAGACCAUCUGAAGGCAAUUAAGGUCGUUAAUCACGCUCUGAUCAAGUGACUGUCAUUCAUCCAACAGACUUGAGUUAUGGUCUCCUUAGUGCUAAAGGACACAGAGCUACAAUCCUAUAGAACAUAUCCUGUUCAAGUAAGAUCGUAUAAACACUUUUUUAUGAUCAUGUUUUAUCUAACAUGUCGGGCAAAAUAAAGUGUGAUUUUUCUCUCUCAAUUAAUUUCGAAUAAUAAUUAGGACCUAAUACUUUCUUAACGAAUUAAAAUAAAGUCUUAAAGAAAAAUAUGCUAAGAGAGAAUGUAAAACUUAGCUGCUGCUGAAGCUCUUGCCGUUGUCGCUUUCUUGCCAUCCAGCGAAUUCAUUUUCCUAUCUCGUUGUCUUGAUUUUUCUCUUAUAUAAGAGUUGUCUUACUUUUUUGAUUGAAAGUUAUUUUCGCUACCUUUCAAAUCAUUAUCCCACCACAAAUCGAUGACCGGCAACGCUAAUAUCACCGCCGCCAUCGUCCCCGGAGCUGUAGCUCUCAAUGUUACCUUCUAUCUGCCUGUCACCAUCGCCACAUGAGUCGCUACUCUGUCGUUGGAGGAGAAGUCUAAGCCGGAAUUGUCGCUCGCUGACCUUAUCAUCGUCCCGGUGGUAUGGAAGUCAACUUAAAAAACAAAACACAACAAGUAACAUGCUAUGACGAAUCACUGAUUUGGAGGUGAUUCGACCGUAUUGAAUGGAAUGAUUGAAACUUAAAAAGAAAUAAAGUCUUAAAAAUUAAAUAAUAUUGUUACUUUCUCUUCAAUUAUGGGUAAUUUCUAUAAAGAAAGCAACGCUAAUCCAACGGCCAUUAAUAAAUCCAUCUCCCAUCUCUUCACACCCACCACGUAGGCCCCACCACUAGUCUCCCUUGCCUCAACCGACGGCGACAAUGUACCGUUCCAAUUCAAGUCGCCGGCGUACAGCUGCCGCAGGCCGUCGAUAUCAUCCUGCGCAAGCUCAACUUUUCUAGUCAUCGAAGUAAUGGUUGGGUACAUAAUCGCCUCCGGAUCCGACGAGUGACCCAACCCCAACAGAUGCCCGAUCUCGUGCACCGCCACCGUCUCCAGAUCCACCGCCGUCGGCAACCCGUCCGCCAAACCUGACACCACCCAGUCCUCAUCCCCGUCGAGGUGGAGCCGCCCGUUCGGCGGCGAGAACGCGUGCGCCAGAGUCCCGAAAACCCCGUCGAACGGAUCCCCAUCUCCGUGGGCCCCACGCAGAAACCCGACCCGGAUGUCCGCCACGAAAUAGUCUUUCGUUUCUUUAAACGUCAGCAUCCCCGCCGCCGCUUCCGACCACCGUCCGAAAGCUGCCGCAAACACGCCCUUCACCUCCUUGCUCAGCUUAUUUUCCGGAAAGAACGCGUAGCUCAGAUUCCGGCGAUCCCCCGGCCACCGCGGCCUCCCCGGGAAAAACGAGAAACGUUUCGUCGUUGAAUUACCAUUCCACGACGGUGGUCUCAUGGUCGUCGAUCCGUUGACUACAUCGGCGUCUCCGCAUCUAGGAAGCACGAUCUGUCGAAUCGUCCGCUGGUCGAGCUUCCCCGUGACGUUGAGAUUGAAGUUCCUCUGGUAAGUCCUGACCGCCAAUUCGAGCGAAUCAUCGAAAGAAUCGGUGAAGUUAACGGCAGAAUCUGGGACUUGGAGGUAGCCAAAGUGGCGGAAGUAUUGCUUUAGCUUUGAAAGGCCCGGGAUAAUCUCGCCGGCGUGGCUGCCGGAUAAGUUCCGGAAGGAAUCCCAAUCGGAGGUGGUGAAAUUGGGUGGUUUGAGUUGGAAAUCAGAUCGGAUUGAGUUUGUGUUCGAGAGGAACCUAGCGGAAAUUUGUGGAGGAAAGGAACAGAAGAAGAAUGAAAGAAAUGUAAUGGACAAGAUCAAUUUGCACCGGAGUUUCAUUGCUCUGCUGCUCUGUACUGUAACUCAGCUGAAAGAAGAGUAGAAGAAAGGUCGGCGGAUAUGUAUAAAUUCACUUUACUCCACCUAGUCGGGUUUUCUAGCAUUUUCGUCACUAAAAGUAUAUUAUCUUAACAUUUACAAUUUGGUUGGAAUGGAUUGAUUAAAAUCCAUUAGGCUGUCUUCAACCCAAGGGCUAUAAUUUUAAAAUAGCUUUUGAAAUUUAGAUUAUUUUUUUCAAUUCAUACUUAAAAGGCAAAAUAAAAGGAUAAAAAGCAAUAAUAGCAACGGGUAAAAAUAAGGGGUUUUAGCCUUCUCAAAAUAAAAUUAAAUGAACCCGCCAAAUAAGAGUUAAUGGAGGAAAGAGAGUGCAAUUUAUUAUUAUUUUAUAAGAUUAUGUGUAUUUAAACUAUUAUUNNNNNNNNNNNNNNNNNNNNNNNNNNNNNNNNNNNNNNNNNNNNNNNNNNNNNNNNNNNNNNNNNNNNNNNNNNNNNNNNNNNNNNNNNNNNNNNNNNNNNNNNNNNNNNNNNNNNNNNNNNNNNNNNNNNNNNNNNNNNNNNNNNNNNNNNNNNNNNNNNNNNNNNNNNNNNNNNNNNNNNNNNNNNNNNNNNNNNNNNNNNNNNNNNNNNNNNNNNNNNNNNNNNNNNNNNNNNNNNNNNNNNNNNNNNNNNNNNNNNNNNNNNNNNNNNNNNNNNNNNNNNNNNNNNNNNNNNNNNNNNNNNNNNNNNNNNNNNNNNNNNNNNNNNNNNNNNNNNNNNNNNNNNNNNNNNNNNNNNNNNNNNNNNNNNNNNNNNNNNNNNNNNNCGGCUAGAGUUGAGUGAAGUUUAAUUUGAUUCAAAUUUAGACCAUGGAAUUCAUAUGAUUAUGUUUUUUAAAAAAAUUUAUAUAUUAUAUCUUUAAUUAGAUUGUUCACAUAUAUGUUUCGAUAAAAUCAGAUAAUUCUUGUUAUAUAUAUAGGAUACCCUUUAGUAAAUUAAAUUAACCAUUAAUGUUUUCUUAACUAAGAUGCUUACCACCUAUGAUGCAAAAUUGCAUAGGAUUUCACAGAUGCAAUUUAACCACUAAAUUCAAUAAUUAUAUUAAAAACGUCAUUUAAUUAUCAAUAAUUAUAUUAACACCGUCAUUUAAUUCUCAAUUUUGUAACUCCAAUUUUGAGUUAACAACAACACAUAAAAAUAAACAACGGCAAUAAACAGCCAUAAAAGUCAAUAACGUGGAAAAAGUCAGCAUUUCAAUCCUAUAUAUAUAAACACACAGUUACCAGUUUUCUUCCAUCUUACAAAAAAACAAACAACAAUGGCGAACAACAAGCCUAGCAACAAUUCUCCACAGAAGUUGCCAAUCAAGAAGAUACUCAACAGAAGCCACCUCCAAGUGACGUUCUCCAAGCGACGCGCGGGACUUUUCAAGAAGGCGAGUGAGCUAUGCACCCUCUGCGGAGUUGAGAUCGCCGUCAUUGUUUUCUCCCCCGCCGGCAAGACCUACUCAUUCGGACAUUCCGACGUCGUUUCCAUCGUCAGGAAAUUCUUAACCACCGCCGCCAGUCAUCCUCCAAGUGUUGAAGCUCCCAGCCAAAUUACCCCCGAGGCGCGUGAGUUGAAUGCUGAGUUGAAUGCUGAGUUGACGCUAGUUCUUAGUGAGCUGGAAGUUGAGCGGAAGCAGGGGGAGCUUCUGGACCGGAUGGUGAAAGCCCAAGAAGCAGAGUAUGGGCUGUCGAUUGCCGAUCUUGGGCUGGAUGGGCUGGCCCAGUUGAGGAAUGCAUUGGAGGAGCUACAACUCAAUGUAGAGAAUCAGAAAAUUUCUGUGGGUUAUGAAUAUGGCAAUUUCUCUGAGAACUGGAGUUUCUAAGAGCUUUAAUUUUGCUCCUGCAUGAUUUUUUCAUAGAGAAAGAAAAAUAAAUGUGUGUUCUUGGUUAUCUUAGUACAAAAUAAGUGUAGCAUUAUUACCAGGGCCACAUCUCCAAAUAUACAAUCGGCGAGAGCUCUAAUGAAUGCUAGACAAUUUAAUUUGAUGAUUGUUUGAAGACCGUAAUCUUAUACAAAUUCCAACACUUUAAAAAAGAGCCAUAACUUCCGUCAUAAUAGGGGAUGAACAAAGAAAUUGACCGAAAGAAUCAUCGUAUUAAUGUUAUAUUAUGUAGUACUGCGCGCGACUCUUUCAUAUUUUCCAAUGGUAUUAACGCAGUAAACAAUCAAAAAAACAUGGUCACUAUUCCCAAGAAUGAGAACCAAAAUCCGGCAAAAUGAAUUGAUGAAUGAUUCCCCCUUCUAAAACAAGACAUUGGUCGGUCUCCUCGGUUUAGCAGCCGGAUUUGGUCUGACCGGUUCUCAAAUGAGGAGUUUUGCUGUAACCAAAUCACCCAACUAAUAGAUUCUAAAUACCAACAUCCAUCGAUACAGUUAAUGUACAGCUAGCCCACUUCCUUAUAAAACCCAAACAACAAAUUGUAAGCAAACAAUUACAAGUCUAUUUGAUUAAAUGGGGGGAUCCAAGGGCUCGUACGAGAACACGUGGGCAGAUCAGUGGGACGACAAGAACCAAGGCAACUACACCGCCGGCCGGGUCGGCCGGGGGCGGGGGGGGGGGCGGGGAGGGGAGGGAGGUGCGAGUGAGGGCUUAGCAAGACAAAGGAAGUGGCUUCGACGGGGAUGAAGAAGGUUAAAGCUGGAGCUUCUAUUGGGUUCGUUUGGAUGAAAGAUAAGUACCAGAAAACCACCAGCAAGAAAACCUGACUUUUUAUUAAUCUUUUGCUGCUUUGUUAAUUUUUGUUUUUCCUGUGAUUAGCUAGGUUUGUGUUAUUUGUUUUAUUAUUUUCUCUGUUCUAAUUGAUGGGAAAGACUUUGAUCGGUGAAAACUCAUUUCUACUUUGGACGGAUGAUGUUGGUUGAAAGAUGGUGUUAGAUGUAGCUUGGUCGAAUUUUGAAAUGAUGAAUCGAUUUCUUCAUUGCGAACGUUCUUACGAAACGGUAAACGGCCGGUUACUAAUUGUACUUUAUUGCCAUGGAUAAUACAUUAUUCCGACCUAUUGAUUAUUCUAA